GUAGGUGAACCUGCGGAGGGAUCAUUACCGAGUGAGGGCCCUCGCGCCCGACCUCCAACCCUUUGUCGGUUCAUAUCUGUUGCCUCGGGGGGCGACCCGGACGUCCGCGGCCGGGAGUCCCCCAGAGGACCAAUCAACCCUGCAUCUCUGCGUCGAGUAUUGAAUACCAAUCAAUCAAAACUUUUAACAACGGAUCUCUUGGUUCUGGCAUCGAUGAAGAACGCAGCAUCUGACUGACUACGUGGUUACG
rnacentral:misc_RNA from 1 species